rnacentral:tRNA from 1 species
AUUCAAAUAGCUUAUAAAUUAGAGCGUUACACUGAAGAUGUAAAUGAGGUUUAUUUAAUCUUUGAAUA